GGACGCCACAUCCGGUCUUUGUUUUUUUACGUCCGUGAUGUCACAUUCGGCCUUUUUGGCGGCAUAAUAUGGCAUAUGGCAGGCUCGGAGUGCACGAAGCGGUGGAUCGCUUAUUUUUCGGGCUUUUGCUUCUCGGACCGCCACACCGGCCAGCCAGUGCUACAGUGUCCUAAUGCAGAGAACGUAUAUUACACGGAACUGCGCUCCUUCAGAGUUAUUUAGAGUCUUUGUCAGAAGCACGUAACAGUAACAUUACUUGGUUACGGUGCUGCUACAUGGCAGAAUAUUUGAAUGGCAGAUGUCCCGAGUGCGGCAUGUAAGUACGUACGUACGCGCGCUUGUUUAGCCUAAAUAAGAGUUUCUAUUGUUCCCCAAUGGAAAUGCACAUUCCUGAUGCAUGGUUCAGAUCUGCCGGCUAAGGGCGGUAGUGAAUAAAGUCACCAAAUUGCGGCCUCGUUGCGGUCUCGCAUUGCGGCCUCAUUGCACGGUCGGGAAAAAUUGCUUUAGAACCAAAAUUUCGCUGCGCUGUCAGUAGCCAUUCACUGAUAAGCUUUCUCCGCAGCGUAAUGCUCAGUGCAGAUGUGAUGGGGGUUGUGUGUGCGGUCGGAAUGUGACCGAUAUUCCUGAACGCAGUGUCAUUCAGCGAUGUGCACAGCUGUGGCUGAUUGUAGAAUGUGGGCUGUGACAGGAGUGAUGGGGACCAUGCUCCUGCCUCGGCCAAGGUUGCAGCGAUUUCAGAGCUGCAGGGAGCGCCCAGGCAGAACCUAAUCUCGGCCCUAUGCUGCAGCUCCAGCUUCUUGAGACGGGCACGUGGUAGUGCCACGAGUGGGAGGACGUACCGCAGGCGUGAGGUGGCUACUGCAUGGUACAGCCGCAGAGCCCACCUAGUGGUGCAGCUCUGUCCUCGGGCAACAAGCUGGGAGACUGCCUUGUGGACCCGGAGGACCUGGACAUGCAGGGUCUUGACAGCAGGCAGCCAGGUCAGCCGGUGAUGAACGUGUAGCCCCGGGUACGUCACUGCCGGGCUUCAAGGUCGCCUUCCAGUUGCAGCUGUGCAGCGGGCGGUUGCUCUUGGGUGGAGCAGCAUGGCCUCCGUCUUCCUUGCCGAGAUGGCAAGGCCAAUGCAGCUCAGUCUGCAGGACAGCAGGCAGUCGGGCCAGGUUGAACAGGAAAGGGCUCACCACUGAUCCUUGUGGGACGCCCUCUACCAAAUAGGUCCAGGGCCUGCUGAACGACUGGAUAGGGCAGGCCGUCAAAGGCCCCCUUCAUGCCGAUAAGCACCAGGAGCACGGCGUCACCGCAGGCCUUGGCCUCUUCCAGCGUGGAGACCACGUCCACGAUGGAGUCCGCACUGCAUCAGCUCCGCCGGAAGCCUAUCUGCUCAUCGGCCAGAAAGCAAUGGCCUCCAUCAGCUUGCAAGCAGCAGAGGAAGCCAUCAUCUGGUGCUGUGUACAGCAAGCACAUGCUUCGGGCAAGGAGGGAGCCAGCACCAUAUCUACAUCAGCAAGAACCUCGGUGCUCAAAAUAAACAUUUUCUGUGCAAA